CUAAAUAAAAUCUUAUAAUCUAUUUAGCCUUGUGGAUCCCGUUUGUAAACAGGAGGAGUAGAGUCUUAUCAAAAAAAUUUUUAAAAAAAACAGGAGUAGUAGGGGGCCCCGCUACAUCCUAUAAUUUCUUACAGUCCACAUGCAAUUCCGGCCUUAAAGAUGACACGUGGCAACUACCUGGGCUCCAGAGGACGAGAGAAUUCUCGGACGCUCCUCCCCUCUCGAUUCCUCCAAUACUUCCCAAGAUCCCUUCAAGAAAAUUGACAAAAACAGUAAAAAGAAAAAAAAUCAGGGAUCCAUGAUUCUAUGUGAAUCCUUCAAUGUUUAUUUCCUAAUUCGUUAUAUUAUCUAUAUUUAGUAAAUUUUGCAGGGAAAAACAUUAAAUUAAAUUAAUGGAACAGCAACAAAAGGGAUGUUUUUAAUUCGAUCCUACAAACUCGAAGGAAACUUAUACAAAUGAUAUGAUUAAAUUUGGUAAAGUUUCGCCAUGAAACAAAGAUUUUUAAGAUCUCACCAAGGAAGAUGGUAAAAUCAAGGAAUUGAUUGAUCUUGUGAUCUUGCUCUUCCGAUGCCUAAUUUUUCUCGGGAUCGACUUCAAAUCUCCACAAAAAUUCAUCACAAAUACGUCUCCCGAGCUCUGAUUAAAGUAAAUGGAUUCAAGAGCUUGAAGAAAUACCUGGAUUUACGAUUUGGGUGUCUUCUUGCGAUCAAAAACUAGGGAGCUGGAUACCAUCUGCCGGGACUUAGAACUGGAUCAUUGGAAGGAGAAAUAUGGCCCAGAAAAAUAGUAAAUGGGAUUGAUCGAAUGGUGGAGAGAGCCAGCGAGAGAUUUAUUUUUGUUGUUUCGGUUGAAAGAUCGCUUUCUCUUCUCUUUUCCUUCUUCUCCGUGAGUUAGAGAGAGAGAAAGUUGGGACACGAGUCUCCCGCUGGUAAUGGAUAGAGACAAAAGGCGGCCUUACAGAGAGAGGGAGAGACGGCUGGAAGUAAGAGAGAGAGGAGGGGGAGAGGGAGGAGGAGGGGGGUUAUACAUUAUAUAGCAAGCCCCGCUUCUAAGUUUGGAAAUUGGAAAAUAAAAGAAAUUUUAUUAGCUGUAAA
rnacentral:lncRNA from 1 species